rnacentral:rRNA from 1 species
GAUGGACCCGCGGUGUAUUAGCUAGUUGGUGAGGUAACGGCUCACCAAGGCAACGAUACAUAGCCGACCUGAGAGGGUGAUCGGCCACACUGGGACUGAGACACGGCCCAGACUCCUACGGGAGGCAGCAGUAGGGAAUCUUCCGCAAUGGACGAAAGUCUGACGGAGCAACGCCGCGUGAGUGAAGAAGGUUUUCGGAUCGUAAAACUCUGUUGUAAGGGAAGAACAAGUA